rnacentral:rRNA from 1 species
AUUGAACGCUGGCGGAAUGCUUUACACAUGCAAGUCGAGCGGCAGCGCGGGGGCAACCCUGGCGGCGAGCGGCGAACGGGUGAGUAACAUAUCGGAACGUACCCCGUCGUGGGGGAUAACACAGCGAAAGCUGUGCUAAUACCGCAUACGACCUGAGGGUGAAAGCGGGGGAUCGCAAGACCUCGCGCGAUGGGAGCGGCCGAUAUCGGAUUAGCUUGUUGGUGAGGUAAAGGCUCACCAAGGCGACGAUCCGUAGCUGGUCUGAGAGGACGACCAGCCACACUGGAACUGAGACACGGUCCAGACUCCUACGGGAGGCAGCAGUGGGGAAUAUUGGACAAUGGGCGCAAGCCUGAUCCAGCAAUGCCGCGUGUGUGAAGAAGGCCUCGGUGUAAG